CUGUCUUCUAUGAACGAUAACUUUAAACUGGUGUCAAUGCUUUUUUUUAACAAUUCAUCUUUAUUUCAACAAUUGAAGAUGAAUACCAUUUUAUUUUAUAAUGUAAUAAGCACUAUGGGCAGGCGCGGAUCCAGAGCUUGAAGUGGGGGUUUGGGGGAGGGGUUAUGUGAGAAAUGUUUAAAACACUAGAGAAGUUUUCAUGUUAUACCAAACCAUAUGUUUUUCAAUAAAUGGCACACUUUUUGUUCA
rnacentral:lncRNA from 1 species